UACAGGGGGUGCAAACGUUGCUCGGAAUCAUUGGGCGUAAAGCGCACGUAGGCGGUUCGUUAUGUCGGAUGUGAAAGCCCUUGGCUUAACCGAGGAAGUGCAUCCGAAACUGGCGAGCUAGAGUACUAAAGAGGAUCGCGGAAUUCCCGGUGUAGGAGGUGAAAUUCGUAGAUAUCGGGAAGGAACACCGGUGGCGAAGGCGGCGAUCUGGGUAGAUACUGACGCUGAGGUGCGAAAGCGUGGGGAGCAAACAGG
rnacentral:rRNA from 1 species